AUGACUGUAUCGUGAAUGAGGGCUAACUGCCUAAGGCUCAGCCCAGACAAGACUGAGGUAAUGUUGACUGAAUGAGAAACAAUCAGAAGGAACCACAGAGAUUGUAUCUAUUAAGACUAAGUGUUUCAUUAGUAACAUCUAGACAGCAAAAAAUUUGCUCAUGGCUGACUGACUUCCUCCCUUGGUGCUCAUAAGUCAUCCCUGAUUGGUUCGACUGCCUUUCAUCUCCGCUAAGCUCAAAUCAGACAUACUUGCUCCAAGGAUGUGUUCAUUUCCAGCUCUGGGCCUCACACUGCAUUACAGAGGGAAAGAUUCACAGUGUUGGAGCUGCAACAGAUGUAUUGAUAGUGUCGGAUCCAGAAGCAGAAAUGAGGAAUGCCUGGCUGAUCGGUGCUCAAGUUCUUAGAGCAGGAUUCACAAUCAUUAUCCAUUUAUCUCACUCCAUUUUUGUGUCAGUGUAUUUUUAGCUGAGGUUCAGAAAAUAUCUAAGUGAAUCCUUUCUUACUUUUCACAACAUUUUCUGUACUACAGCAACUGACAAUAACAUUAUGGUAACAUGUUAUAGUAAUGUUACAUCCAUUUAGCUGGCUAAUUUUUCCAUAUUUCUCAGUCUCUCUCCUCUCUUUUACCCUAUCAGAAAUCUUCUUAUCUCAAGGGCUUGAACUGUGGGGAAACUCUUUGGGAAGAAUUCGUUCUCCCUUGUUCCGAAAAAUUAAUGUGGUUUCAAAGCUCUCUCAUGCUUCUCUGGCCUUUAAACUCUGGCCUGAGUUCUUUAGCUGCUGUCGUUCAUUCUAGAAGACUUUCCCACAUGCUGUAAUGUCAGGGGACUUCCUGACCAUGAUCAGCAGUUUCUGUGUGUGUACAUGUGGGAGUGAAGGGGCAGAGGUGCCACAGGAGGCCAGUACAGAACAAUUGUUGAAGGGAUAGAGCAGCAGAUACUGGAAGGCCUAGAUCAUAAUUGGGCUCAGCGGUUGCAGAGUGCCUGAAUCCCCAUGGCUUGUCUCCUGCACAGUUAAAGGCCAGACAAGCCUUUAACUUUUUUUAAAUAUGGCUUCUCAAAUUGCAGUUCCUGCUUUGCAUUUUCAAGGAUUCAUAUGUACAGUAAUUCAGAGUCAUUUGUGCAAACUGGGUGUGUCUACACGUGCAUUUAAGCGUGCCUAAAUUUAAUGUACAUUAGCUUAAUGCGCAGUAAGCAGGUUUAGGCAGGUAUUAAACACAUGCAGGCAUUAAAGCACAUUAACUCUGUGUGUGUCGAUAGACUUGGGACUAAAGUUAGUCCCAAGUCCAUCCAUACACACAGCAAUAAUGCACUUUAAUGUAUCUACAUGUUUGUUAAUGUGGUUUAACUAUUUGCGCCUAAAUUUGACUCCUGCAUUUGAAGGAGUCAAAUUUAGGCAAAAAUAGCCUAAAUUCACCAUUUUAAAAACACAGUAAGACAUGCAUGUGUAUAUGUGCGCCCAAAUGCACCUUAAAUAUAAGUUAAUGUGCCUUCAAGCAUCUUAUGUAGACACACCCACUAUAUCAUAUUCACAUACCUUUUUAUUCACUAUAUUUGCUUAGUAAGUGGAAAGUAUCCUGAAAGUCUGUAAAAGCAAAAACAUGUGGUUGGUUGGAUAUUUCUUACCUGUAAGUCUCACUGGCUUUGUACACUAACCUAGAAAUACAUUUUUCUCCAGUUUCUGGCAGGGAUGUAUAUUGGAGGUACCAAGGAACCAAAAUUUAAAAUUUUGAUCCAGACUUUUGCUUAAUUUAAGACUGUUUGGAUCUUUCCUUUGAUAUGGUUUUUAAUGCAACUUUCUAAGUUGAUAGAAAGAAAACACAGAAUCUAACACUGUCAUCCUUCCUACAUCAAUAUUUACAUAGAGGGUAGACACAAGUCUCUUCCACUCCACUGUUCAUUGGUAGUCUAGUUCCCUUUCUGAAACCAGUAGGUGUUUAUGAGGCUAGGCAGUUAGCCUGACAUUCAUCCUCCCCUUUUCUUCGUGUUAUUUAGUAUUGGGACCACCAGCUAUAACAGGCAGGAUUCUCAGUGUUUGUCUACACUGAGGCCAUAGAAAACUCAGUCUUGUUGCCCAGCAAUAAAUGCUGCCUGCCCAUCCCUAUUCUGUAUACACCAAUCCUGGAAAUAAGGUGGGAGAAGUAAAAUAGGGGCAUCCCUGCCACUUUACUCAAGGCUUGGAUUUCCAAAGUGUGCUCAAGCAUGGUAGGACAUCCUUAACACCUCAUUUCCAGGGUUGCUAUAUGUGGUGUGGGAGCAGGUAGGCAGGGUUUAUUGCCUCACUGGUGGGACUGCCACUAGUUCAGAUGUAUGUUAUG